ensembl:antisense Gm12144 predicted gene 12144
AUCUGGAUUAGAGAAGAGGACGGUUCACAGCAUUGCAGUAGUGAUGGCGUUGCUAAGGAUCUGUUCCUUUAUCCUUUUCUCUGAGACCGGAUCUUAUAGAUCCCAGACUGGCCUAGACCUCUCCGUGUAGCUGAUCCAGGUCAGGUGAAUCCUGCCCAGAUACCACCCACAUCCCAGGCUGAUGGGUACCUAUGGAAAGAGUCAUGACGCUCAACUUGUCUCGCACCAGCUUGACAAUCAUACUCUUCUGCAGUGGGGUGGAGCGGCAACACAGGACAGACCGACAGUACUGAGUCAACUCCAGGAACUUAUUCUCCAGCUUUCCCUGGAAAAUUGCAUUCAGUGUCUUCCCAUCAAUGACCAGUCCAAUUUCAGGAGCCAUAGCUCCCGAGUUAACAGAUGGCAUCUUAGGUGGGAUGCGGUGCCCACAGAGUUUUCUGGCUGGCUGCUGCGGUUCAUGAAACCUCUUUAUGUCUUCCAAUGUACAAUUGAGGAUGGACUCGCAGGUUUCCUACAGAGUGUCACAUAAUAAAGUGUUAGUAAGCAGCCUUGAAGGUUAAAACUGUACCUUUAUUUUUAGUAAGAUAAUUAUAAAACUCUAUCAUAUAAGUAAUUUUCCAAGUUCAUUGCACAUUUCUCUGCAGUAUUUGAAGCAGCAUUAAACCAUACUGAUUUUUGAGACAUUAAUGGCCAGAAUAGGAGAAGGUGAUUAGAAGUAGAAGUGGCUGUUGCAAGAUGGCAACUGAGUUGGGCCGGGUAUAGGAUAAAACUUAGCACUAAUAUGUUGGUAGACUUUGACAACAUUUCAUGCUGUUCUGUGAGUUUUCUGUCUCUUACAGGCCUUUCCAGUUCCCUGCUGUGCCUUUACACAUUGUUGUAGGUAUCCCUGGUCUUGGUUUAGAGAUGAGGAGAUUGAAACAAUGAGGAACAUAGUACUUUACUUAAUGUCAGCCAAAUAGUAGUGAGGCAGGAACCUUACUUUUUCAACAUGGCUUCCUAACUUGAAAAGAAACCCGCCACUCUGGGUAGAUCUAUUGGUCUAUUCCACAGAGGUCUUAAGAACUGUGCUAUACAGUGUUUUUCAUGUUGGUCUGGACUGACCAUGAAUAUGAAAUUAUUACUGGUUCAAAGAGUCUUCUCUGUAUUACUGGUUCAAAGAGUCUUCUCUGUGAUUUUUUUUUUCUACUUUGAGAUGGUCUUUUGAUAUAGUCCAGGUUGGCCUUGAACUAGUGAUAUUACUGUUUCCCUUUUCAAGUGAUUAAAGAUGUACCACAAUCAUGUUAGUUUUAUGAUUUUUUUAAAAAAUAAAUGAUGUUAUUU